UCACAAUUGUACGAUCUCUAUCAUCAGCAUUGUCUUCACACUACAAUAAAAGGGCGUAUUACCGAAGGUUAAUUACCGGCGGCCUUCAGGCCUUCGGUAAUGUAUUGGUGAAAUUAAAUACCAAAGGCUUUUGCUCUUCGGUAAUGUCUCCGAUGCUUUAACUUCAAAAUUUAAGCAUUUGUUCUUCAAAUUUCCCAAAAGUAGAACAACCUCCCUCCCUUUUGUCGAACUCACUCCUUGACUUAGGGUUGUGACUUUGGUGGCGGUCAGCCGGUUCGAUGUUGUGGUUUGAUGGCACGAGUUUGGUGGUGUGGAUGCUGACGGAGGUUCGUUGUUGGGUGGCGCUCUUCCAUUCCCUACUCUCUGUUCGAAGCGGUUUUUUGGUUUAAAGCGUGAGGUUGUCGUCUUAAGGCAGUUUGAAGCGGUUGGUGUUGCAGACGCUGACGGCGGUUCGUUGGUGGCUGGUUUGCGGCUAGGGUUCGGGUUUUGGUCCUUGUGAGUGUUGCGACAGGGGUGGGGGUUGUUGGGGGUUGGCGUGUCGAGGGUGUUGCACUGAAGUGGUGUUGGUUUGGCGAAUUGGUUUCGGAUUGGGCCGCAGAUGUUGUUGUCGGAGAUGUCAAGGUGGAGAAGGAGGCAGAGGUUUUUGUGGGGAUCGAGGAAGCGGAGGUACACUAGUGGGAGAGAGAAUCAAUUGGACCACCAAGGUUGAGGGAAGGGAGGAGAGGCCCACCACUCUGCCGUUUGGGGAGCACUCGGCGCCGAGCCACGCGAAGGACAGGCGUCGGCUUUAGUUCAGUUGGAGAGAAGUUGGAGCUGAAGUCCUUACUCGGAAAUUUGAUGAGAUGCAUCAACAUACUCUUGAGGAAGAUCGGAAUGGAUUCUAUGAGGCUUUCUACAGUGCAUUUGAUGACCAAUCUGCAGCAAUGAAUUCAAUUCUAAAAGGGAAGGAGUUGUUCACUCAACAGG